rnacentral:snRNA from 3 species
GUGCUCCCUUCAGCAGCACAUAUACUAAAAUUGGAACGAUACAGAGAUUAGCAUGGCCUCUGCACAAAGAUGACAUGCAAAUUCAUGAAGCGUUCCAUAUUUUU